CACAGACAGCCAGGAUGUUGGCUUAGAAGCAGCCAUCAUUUAAAGAAAGCGUAAUAGCUCACUGGUCGAGUCGGCCUGCGCGGAAGAUGUAACGGGGCUAAACCAUGCACCGAAGCUGCGGCAGCGACGCUUAUGCGUUGUUGGGUAGGGGAGCGUUCUGUAAGCCUGCGAAGGUGGCCUGUGAGGGUUGCUGGAGGUAUCAGAAGUGCGAAUGCUGACAUAAGUAACGAUAAAGCGGGUGAAAAGCCCGCUCGCCGGAAGACC
rnacentral:rRNA from 1 species